UAACUACAGGUGUGGAUUACGCGGGGUCGCUUCCAGGAAGGGAUUAAAAAUUCGCAGAGGAAGUGAAGCAGAGCGAGAAGCAGUCACAGAGAGUCGGAAGAUCGCUGCGGGUUGCUUGUUGGAAUCGCAAUUGAUCGUGGACGAAGAACUGACGGUGUGUAACUCUGUCCAAGUGCCAAAGCAAAAUGUUGAAGGAUACUUUUCCAAGGAGAAGGUCCGAGCCGGAGGGCAUGGGCUUGUCUCUGACCCAGAGGAUCAAAGUGGGUGACUCUCUACUUUCAACUCCUGCAUGAAACAACUGAAUUAGCGCUUCUGCUCUAACAGCUUCAAGGCCACCUCAUGGUUCAAAUCUAAGGAAAUUUUACUAAGGGAUUUAAUCCAAACCAUUACGAUUAAGUUUAGAACCUUGGGCGAUUUGCAGCAAUCAGGUAAAUCACAGACACUAUAUUAACAAAGAUCAGGUGAAUUAUCUUCAUAUGCACCUCGAUUGAUGCCCUUAUCGAACAGUAAAUUAUUGGGCUACCUAUGAUUUAGUGCACAUCAACGAAGAUCUGUCCAUAUUAGCAAGCUAAUUUAUUGCUUAAAUAUAAUAGUUAAACAGGUGGCUUAUAAUUGUGAGGCAGUCCUUACAGAUGAAUUUGUUCUGUUUUAUUAUCUUAUUAUCAAUCAUUCUCUGAUGGUGAGACAGAUAUCUGGCUUUUUUUUGUUUGUUCUGUGAGCCUGUUUCGCACUGUACUGCAAAAUGUCCUGAUCAUAUGGUUUCAUGCGGCACGUGACAUCAGCCGGGACCUUGAUGAAGCAUCUUCGGAAAGUUUUUCUUGCUCAAUCUUCGCCUGAAUAUUUGUCCAUGUCUGAGCAAAUAGCUCCCUUACAAUAUGGGUCAUUGAGCAUUGAUUGUGGAUUCAAAUGCUAAAUCUUAGUUACAAUGAGGUCCAAAAUUUUGAAGGUCAACAGAUCGUAGUUAGUACUUAUUUGCUUCUUGAAAUUUCUUCUGGAAGUUAGUAAGCGACACUUCGUAAUUGAUUUUUCCAUUUAUGUUGAUUUUUAGUGUUGGUAGGCCAUUUUGUUAUUCAUGUCUAUGUGCUGAUCUCCAGUAAAAAUAUUGCAUUUCAGAGAAGUUAGACGGAGACAGAGAAGGAGAAUCUGUCUGGACCAUGGUAAUGUUUGUCUGUCUACACGCUUGUUUGCCACUGAUUUAACCAGCAAAUGUUAGAUUCUUGCUUUAUGGUUUGAGAAUGAUUUAUUUAGCCCCUUCAUAUCUUUUAACCACCGUCCAAUAUCUUUGAUACUUUGUAUUCAUAUUGCAGUAUUGGCAUUUUGAAGCUAACAUAUCAUUCUUCACCUAGAUUUCCUAUCUUUUUUUUUUUACCUUUUUCUGCUAUACAAAUACAACUAUCGUUCCCAACUUGUUGGUGGAUCCUGGGGGAGGGAUUUAGAACCAGCUCCAAAAUGGAACUGGAUUUACUCCUUUCCCAUAUAUUUGGGUGUAUAGUAAAAUCUUUUUUUUUUUUUUUUUGCUAAGAAAAGUCCACAAAACUGCUUGUUUGAUAUUUUUUAUACUGUUUGUCAUAAUUUUGGAACCACCAACCUGUUCCCAAGUAGACGACAUUUUUUAAGAAGACUGAAUUCCGAAGAAGAGUGCUGAAUAUGGUAUUUCACGAAUAUGGGUUGAAGAAUUAAACCAUAGAAUUGGAAUUGUUUGACGGCCACAAUGCGUCCGUUAUUGUCACGAGAUUGGCUUCAUAAGUUUGAAAGCCAGGGCGGGGCGUAAGGUCAAGGGUGGGUGUAGCCGUCGGUCGAUAAAGGGGCAAAUGGGCCGAGCUGCUCCUUUUAGCCAAUGUAUGGUGAUGAUCUCUUGGAACGGGAAUUAAGAGGAGUGCCAACAGUGGUUUAUUUUGCAAUGCUUAGGAACUUAGUCGAACUCUCAGAAUUCAUGAACACGGGAAUGGUUUACAAAUGGACAGUAAACAUGCGGGGUCAAUUUUUUAACACAUCAAUCCGUAAGUAACUCAUGUUCAACUGAACUUAAUGACGAAUUUUACUUUUGGAUGUUAGUUUUGUAUACUGAAAUGCUUCGAAAAAUAAAGGAAACCCUUUUUCUUUGAAAGCAUAUGUCGUCAACUACACAUUUCUGGCAUUCAAUAGUUGAGAGACAUAAUUAAAUAACUGAUUAUAUAUAGCAUGUCAACUACACAUUUCUGCCAUUCAAAUAGUUGAGAGCCAAUUGACACAAUUAAAUAAUUAUUACAAUUUAAGGACCUCAUAUACGCUUUUAAAUGUGUGCAUUGUACAUGAUGCAUUAAUCAGAACAUUUCAUUAGCAUGGUCAAACAAUUUAGAAUUGAUCACAAGUAAAAUAAUCCUUAAAAAAUAAAAGAUGGAAUGGCUUAGGGUAGACACCAUCAAGUGGUUAAUACAGUCCAGCGAAUCAGAUGCAUUUUCUUCCCUUAUACAUAAUCGGCCCCCCCGUAUCUCAAAGUUUGGGUCAGAGGUUCACUUAAUCUUUUUGUGUCUUUUGUUGGUGCCUUUGGACCUUCGUACAUGCUUUCGAGUCUCGGUUGUGAAAUGCAGUGUUACUAAAUCGUCUGAAUUGGCUGAUUCAAAUAAAGUUGGUCCACGGCAGACCGAUCCAAAAGUAACAUAUGUUGGUUUUUUUAAGUAUUUGUCAUAUUUUAAGAACCUUCUUAUUUUAUUGUCUUUAACUGUUUCUCUUCUUCUUUCAAGAAAUGGUUUCACUUGUUUUCUGUCAAGUUCUCACCGACUCAGCCGAAUCAGUGAAUCGGUAUAUAUAGUCCCAAAUCAGCAACCUCGCUGAUUUGUGUCCUCAAUCAAGCAGGGGCAGAGCCGGGGGCCGGCAGGGCCAUGGCUCCUUUAAGUUUUUGAAAAUUAAUUUUUUACUACUAAAUAUUGUUCCCUGUUAAAAAUUUUUAAAAAAUACUCCCAAGUGAAAAAAAUCUUUGACUCCGCCUCUGCUGAUAACGUUUCAACAAGUUCAAAAGCUUCAAUGCUUUUGAACCGUGGAGACUUGAAAACGUUAGUCAUAAUUCAGGAAUCAGGUUGGCUUUAAAUUUUGAAAACUUGGGCUAAGCAAAAAUUUUAAGAUAUUGUCCGGCUCCUAUCAAAAUUUGAAAAAAUGCUGUUAUUUUUCUAGCUCCCUCUGCUUGUGUACGUUAAUCCUGUGCCCAAUGGAUGCCGAAGUUAAUCAAACACAGAAGAGUUGGCAAAUUAAGACGACUUUGGGAGCCAUGUAGAUAUGAAUGAUCUUCGACACAACUGGACAUUGAGAGCCUGAGCGUUAAUGGUGAUUGCUUCUUCAGCUAGAAAGGAUUGUCCUUCCAUCAUGCUAUGUGGAUUAUCAUGGUCUUAUAUAUUUAAUCAUCUAUUUUGCUUUACUUUGGGGAAUGUCAUUCAUCUUUUCCAUUUUAUCGUGCACAUGAUUGUAUUAUACUGGAUUCUCUGUAUCAGUUGUCUCAAUAUUUUUUUUUUUAAUACUUCUGCACCUUAAACUUCUACCGGUUGGUAACAAGAGGAAAUUCUUCAUUUUUUAAACUAGGAAAAUACUUCCAUACUGUUACUUUAUAUAUAGAUAUUGCAGAUCAAAAUAUCUCCACUAUGAUUUUGUUUAUGUUUUACGAAGUUGCAGAAUGACUGGGAAGUUUGGCUUCCAAAUCAAGAUGGGGGAGACCAAGUGGGCUACCACUGUAGCAAAUUCUGGGUAAAGAUACUUGGGGAGCGGCACUGGCACUCUCUUCAUGCUUGCUUGUUGUCAGCUUACGAGGGGACAUGGACGUGAGGAUUCAUGGCUGCUGGUUUUCUCCCAUCCUGCUCUGAUAAGCUAAUCCGCCACUGUGCGUAAAGUCUCAGAACUGCCCACCUGAGGACAGGGUCCCUAUUCCUCGGCUUAUAAAAAGCUUCGAAGCGUCUGACUGCAAAAACCAAAGGUUUUCUGGCUUGGUGCCAUCUUCUGUCUGCUCACUUCAGCAUCAAGAAUCGACGGCCUGUAGUACAUCAAGCCUUUCAUGAAACGAAGAAGAUAACAUAGGAGAAAAAGAACUUAUUGAUUUGGCCAGAAAGCAGUGGAGCAGGUAAUGGGUGCAUCCCUAUCUGCCGGCAUUUCCAGAUUGGUCGAGCAGGGCGCGGCAAAGGUCUGCCGGACUGUAGUGCUGCCUGCUUUUGGUGGGAUCGGCCAGACCCGGUCGAUCGUCGAUCUUGCCCGGUUUAGUUUUGUGGACCUAAAAUUUAAAGUUCAAUGACUUAAGAGUAUCAUUCAUGAACUUAGAGAGAAGGAGAAGAUUGGCGUGGUACAUGCCGUAACACAGUUAUGCUUAUCAUGAAUUAUUUAUUAGCUUAUGUGCUAAAAUUGAGUGUGAGAUCGGCAGAAGCUUGCUUUAAUGGAGAACCUGACAGAGGAGGGUUUUUAAAUGGAGGAGGUCACGAGAACUCGAUAUCCAUGGCAGUCUCUUGGCACAAAAGCCUUUGCUAACCAUACGUAUGUUGGCCAUAGAAAAUCCGAUGUUGAACUCCUCGUGUUAUUUACACUAGUCCAUGUUUAUGUAUAUUUAGGAGCAUGCAUUUUAAGUGAUUAACUCUAAUUAUAUGGUAAAUAUGUCGGUUUCAAUC